rnacentral:rRNA from 1 species
CCUACGGGAGGCAGCAGUGAGGAAUAUUGGUCAAUGGACGAGAGUCUGAACCAGCCAAGUAGCGUGAAGGAUGACUGCCCUAUGGGUUGUAAACUUCUUUUAUAUGGGAAUAAAAUGUUCCACGUGUGGGAUUUUGUAUGUACCAUAUGAAUAAGGAUCGGCUAACACCGUGCCAGCAGCCGCGGUAAUACGGAGGAUCCGAGCGUUAUCCGGAUUUAUUGGGUUUAAAGGGAGCGUAGGUGGAUUGUUAAGUCAGUUGUGAAAGUUUGCGGCUCAACCGUAAAAUUGCAGUUGAAACUGGCAGUCUGGAGUACAGGAGAGGUGAGCGGAAUUCGUGGUGUAGCGGUGAAAUGCGUAGAUAUCACGAAGAACUCCGAUUGCGAAGGCAGCUCACUGGACUGCAACUGACACUGAGGCUCGAAAGUGUGGGUAUCAAACAGGAUUAGAUACCCGAGUAGUC